rnacentral:rRNA from 1 species
AACGAACGCUGGCGGCACGCCUAACACAUGCAAGUCGAACGAAGCAUUACCUUCGGGUGAUGACUUAGUGGCGGACGGGUGAGUAACGCGUGGGGACCUGCCCUGUAGUAAGGGACAACGUCUGGAAACGGACGCUAAUACCUUAUAAUACCCUCCGGGGGAAAGAUUUAUCGCUAUAGGAUGGACCCGCGUUGGAUUAGGUAGUUGGUGAGGUAAAGGCUCACCAAGCCGAUGAUCCAUAGCUGGUUUGAGAGGAUGAUCAGCCACACUGGGACUGAGACACGGCCCAGACUCCUACGGGAGGCAGCAGUGGGGAAUCUUAGACAAUGGGGAAACCCUGAUCUAGCGAUGCCGCGUGAAUGAAGAAGGCCUUAGGGUUGUAAAGUUCUUUCAACUGUGAAGAUAAUGACGGUAGCAGUAGAAGAAGCCCCGGCUAACUCCGU